UACGUAGGGUGCAAGCGUUAAUCGGAAUUACUGGGCGUAAAGCGUGCGCAGGCGGUUUUGUAAGUCAGAUGUGAAAUCCCCCCGGGCUUAACCUGGGAACUGCGUUUGAAACUACAAGGCUAGAGUGUGACAGAGGGGGGUGGAAUUCCACGUGUAGCAGUGAAAUGCGUAGAGAUGUGGAGGAACACCGAUGGCGAAGGCAGCCCCCUGGGUUAACACUGACGCUCAGGCACGAAAGCUAGGGUAGCGAACGGG
rnacentral:rRNA from 1 species